GGUAAAGGCUAAGGGAGGAUGGUAAAGGCUAAGGGAGGAUGGUAAAGGCUAAGGGAGGAUGGUAAAGACUAAGGGAGGAUGGUAAAGGCUAAGGGAGGAUGGUAAAGGCUAAGGGAGGAUGGUAAAGGCUAAGGGAGGAUGGUAAAGGCUAAGGGAGGAUGGUAAAGGCUAAGGGAGGAUGGUUAAGGGUGGAUGGUAAAGGUUAAGGGAGGAUGGUAAAGGCUAAGGGAGGAUGGGGAGGAUGGUAAAGGCUAAGGGAGGAUGGUAAAGGCUAAGGGAGGAUGGUAAAGGCUAAGGGAGGAUGGCAAAGACUAAGGAAGGAUGGUAAAGGCUAAGGGAGGAUGAUAAAGGCUAAGGGAGGAUGGUAAAGGCUAAGGGAGGAUGGUAAAGACUAAGGGAGGAUGGCAAAGACUAAGGGAGGAUGGUAAAAGCUAAGGGAGGAUGGUAAAGGCUAAGGGAG